rnacentral:rRNA from 1 species
GAUGAACGCUGGCGGCGUGCUUAACACAUGCAAGUCGAACGAUGAAGCCCAGCUUGCUGGGUGGAUUAGUGGCGAACGGGUGAGUAACACGUGAGUAACCUGCCCUUGACUCUGGGAUAAGCCCGGGAAACUGGGUCUAAUACCGGAUAGGAGCGCCUGUCGCAUGACGGGUGUUGGAAAGAUUUUUCGGUCAUGGAUGGACUCGCGGCCUAUCAGCUUGUUGGUGAGGUAAUGGCUCACCAAGGCGACGACGGGUAGCCGGCCUGAGAGGGCGACCGGCCACACUGGGACUGAGACACGGCCCAGACUCCUACGGGAGGCAGCAGUGGGGAAUAUUGCACAAUGGGCGGAAGCCUGAUGCAGCGACGCCGCGUGAGGGAUGACGGCCUUCGGGUUGUAAACCUCUUUCAGUAGGGAGGAAGCGA